rnacentral:rRNA from 1 species
UACGUAGGGGGCGAGCGUUGUCCGGAAUGAUUGGGCGUAAAGGGCGCGUAGGCGGCUGUGCAAGUCAGUAGUGGAAGCCCAGCUUUUAAGGUUGGAAGUGCUAUUGAAACUGUGCAGCUUGAGUGCAGGAGAGGUUAUCGGAAUUCCCGGUGUAGCGGUGAAAUGCGUAGAGAUCGGGAGGAACACCAGUGGCGAAGGCGGGUGACUGGACUGCAACUGACGCUGAGGCGCGAAAGUGUGGGGGGCAAACAGGAUUAGAUACCCCGGUA